rnacentral:rRNA from 1 species
GGACGGGUGAGUAACACGUGGAUAACCUACCUAUAAGACUGGGAUAACUUCGGGAAACCGGAGCUAAUACCGGAUAAUAUAUUGAACCGCGUGGUUCAAUAGUGAAAGACGGUUUUGCUGUCACUUAUAGAUGGAUCCGCGCCGCAUUAGCUAGUUGGUAAGGUAACGGCUUACCGAGGCAACGAUGCGUAGCCGACCUGAGAGGGUGAUCGGCCACACUGGAACUGAGACACGGUCCAGACUCCUACGGGAGGCAGCAGUAGGGAAUCUUCCGCAAUGGGCGAAAGCCUGACGGAGCAACGCCGCGUGGGUGAUGAAGGUCUUCGGAUCGUAAAACUCUGUUAUUAGGGAAGAACAAGUGUGUAAGUAACUAUGCACGUCUUGACGGUACCUAAUCAGAAAGCCACGGCUAACUACGUGCCAGCAGCCGCGGUAAUACGUAGGUGGCAAGCGUUAUCCGGAAUUGUUGGGCGUAAAGCGCGCGUAGGCGGUUUUUUAAGUCUGAUGUGAAAGCCCACGGCUCAACCGUGGAGGGUCAUUGGAAACUGGAAAACUUGAGUGCAGAAGAGGAAAGUGGAAUUCCAUGUGUAGCGGUGAAAUGCGCAGAGAUAUGGAGGAACACCAGUGGCGAAGGCGACUUUCUGGUCUGUAACUGACGCUGAUGUGCGAAAGCGUGGGGAUCAAACAGGAUUAGAUACCCUGGUAGUCCACGCCGUAAACGAUG